GUGGCCUUAAUGAAUAAUAACAAUGUGACUGUGUUAACCACACUAUGUAAACUUCAAUGAAAUAAACACAAUGUACAUUAGGUAGCUAGCUACCCAGCCUCUUACACCAGAGUCUACUGCACGCCACGUUCCAUGGGGCAUUACGAGAUGAGACUCACGGGAAGCUACAAGCAGACUGAACUCAAGGCAACACACCACUUACAGCUGAAGAAAGAGGAGAAGAAAAUCUGGUCCAGGGCAGAGGAGGCUUAUACAACUACCCUCACCCAGAGAGAUUGCAGUAUAAAAACAAUGCAGAAGGAGAUCAGCAAGCUGAUGAUGGAAAAACAGCUUGCACAGACAAACCCGACAACUGCAUGCACCUGUUUGUCACCCUGGACCUCGGAGCCACCCUGCACCUAGAUUCCACGCCAACCCAUAGCCACUCGGCCCACCCCCCUGACACUGUUGUUAUACCUAAUGCCAUGAUGAAUGAAGCCCAGUCAAUGUAAUUGUCUUUUAUGCUUGAAACC
ensembl:lncRNA